UACAGAGGUCCCGAGCGUUGUUCGGAUUCACUGGGCGUAAAGGGUGCGUAGGCGGCUGGGUAAGUCUGAUGUGAAAUCUCCGGGCCCAACCCGGAAAUGGCAUUAGAAACUACCUGGCUGGAGGCUUGGAGGGGAACUGGAAUUCUCGGUGUAGCAGUGAAAUGCGUAGAGAUCGAGAGGAACACCAGUGGCGAAGGCGAGUUCCUGGACAAGUCCUGACGCUGAGGCACGAAAGCCAGGGGAGCAAACAGG
rnacentral:rRNA from 1 species